GACGAACGCUGGCGGCGUGCUUAACACAUGCAAGUCACGGGGGCCCGCAAGGGCAACCGGCGAACGGGUGCGUAACACGUGACCAACCUGCCCUUGUGUGGGGGAUAGCCGGGCUAACGCCCGGGUAAUACCGCAUACGGUCCCUUGGGGGAGUCCCUGGGGGAAGAAAGCUCUGGCGCACGAGGAGGGGGUCNCGGCCUAUCAGCUAGUUGGCGAGGUAAUGGCUCACCAAGGCGACGACGGGGUAGCUGGUCGAGAGGAUGGCCAGCCACAUUGGGACUGAGAGACGGCCCAGACUCCUACGGGAGGCAGCAGUGGGGAAUCUUGCGCAAUGGGCGAAAGCCUGACGCAGCGACGCCGCGUGAGCGAUGAAGGCCUCGGUUG
rnacentral:rRNA from 1 species